GAUGAACGCUGGCGGCGUGCCUAAUACAUGCAAGUCGAGCGAACAGACGAGAGUGCUUGCACUCUCUGACGUUAGCGGCGGACGGGUGAGUAACACGUGGGUAACCUACCUAUAAGACUGGGAUAACUUCGGGAAACCGGAGCUAAUACCGGAUAAUAUUUAGCUUCGCAUGAAGCAAUAGUGAAAGACGGUUCUGCUGUCACUUAUAGAUGGACCCGCGGUGUAUUAGCUAGUUGGUGAGGUAACGGCUCACCAAGGCAACGAUACAUAGCCGACCUGAGAGGGUGAUCGGCCACACUGGAACUGAGACACGGCCCAGACUCCUACGGGAGGCAGCAGUAGGGAAUCUUCCGCAAUGGACGAAAGUCUGACGGAGCAAUGCCGCGUGAGUGAAGAAGGUUUUCGGAUCGUAAAACUCUGUUGUAAGGGAAGAACAAGUACGUUAGUAACUGAACGUACCUUGACGGUACCUUAACAGAAAGCCACGGCUAACUACGUG
rnacentral:rRNA from 1 species